rnacentral:rRNA from 1 species
ACGUAGGGAGCAAGCGUUGUUCGGAUUUACUGGGCGUAAAGGGCGCGUAGGCGGCGUGUCAAGUCGAUUGUGAAAUCUCCGGGCUUAACUCGGAGACGCCAUCUGAUACUGCCAUGGCUAGAGUCCGGUAGGGGAGUGCGGAAUUCCUGGUGUAGCGGUGAAAUGCACAGAUAUCAGGAGGAACACCGAUGGCGAAGGCAGCACUCUGGGCCGGUACUGACGCUGAGGAGCGAAAGCGUGGGUAGCAAACAGG